rnacentral:rRNA from 1 species
CAGCAUGGUCUUAGCUUGCUAAGGCCGAUGGCGACCGGCGCACGGGUGAGUAACACGUAUCCAACCUGCCGUCUACUCUUGGACAGCCUUCUGAAAGGAAGAUUAAUACAAGAUGGCAUCAUGAGUCCGCAUGUUCACAUGAUUAAAGGUAUUCCGGUAGACGAUGGGGAUGCGUUCCAUUAGAUAGUAGGCGGGGUAACGGCCCACCUAGUCUUCGAUGGAUAGGGGUUCUGAGAGGAAGGUCCCCCACAUUGGAACUGAGACACGGUCCAAACUCCUACGGGAGGCAGCAGUGAGGAAUAUUGGUCAAUGGGCGAGAGCCUGAACCAGCCAAGUAGCGUGAAGGAUGACUGCCCUAUGGGUUGUAAACUUCUUUUAUAAAGGAAUAAAGUCGGGUAUGUAUACCCGUUUGCAUGUACUUUAUGAAUAAGGAUCGGCUAACUCCGUGCCAGCAGCCGCGGUAAUACGGAGGAUCCGAGCGUUAUCCGGAUUUAUUGGGUUUAAAGGGAGCGUAGAUGGAUGUUUAAGUCAGUUGUGAAAGUUUGCGGCUCAACCGUAAAAUUGCAGUUGAUACUGGAUAUCUUGAGUGCAGUUGAGGCAGGCGGAAUUCGUGGUGUAGCGGUGAAAUGCUUAGAUAUCACGAAGAACUCCGAUUGCGAAGGCAGCCUGCUAAG